rnacentral:rRNA from 1 species
CUUACCGGAGGCAGCAGUCGGGAAUAAUGUGCAACGGACGAAAGUCUGACCCAGGCUUGCCGCGGGAAUAAAGAAGAUCUUCGGAUAGUAACACCCUCCCUCCGGGGAGGGCAAAGUGACGUACCGCAAGCCNACNCCCCCCUCG